GCAGGCGAUUCUUCCACGGCGCUCGAAGCGCGUCGUGGUAUUUCGCGUAUUGUAAUUUCAACACGAGCGGGGUCAAAUCCUUUGCAGACGACUUAGCUGUGCGAAACGGUCCUGUAAGCAGUAGAGUAGCCUUGUUGUUACGAUCUGCUGAGGGUAAGCCGUCCUUCGCCUCGAUUUCCCCAAUGGGUUCUCCGGAUUUCUGGAGACUUGUAGGGGUUGUGGGAUUUUUGAUGUGUCGUCUCCGGACGGGCGGUGCAGGGUAGUCGAGUUAGACUUGGUGGAAUUCCGUCGAUAGGAGUUCCGUCGAGUCUGGUCGGCUGUGUGUUGGACGGUGCAGGGUAGGCUGCUUGGACAUGGUCGGUUCGAGGGAUCGAUUCGAGGGCUGGCCUGUCGAUGAUGUGUGAUGUAUGCGGUCUAGGGUAGGCUGGUUUGUCUUGGUUCAAUUUGAUGUCGGCUCCCGUGCAGGCCAGAGUGAGGGGGGUCCAGGGUAGGUACAGGGUAGGCAGCUUAGAUUUGGUCGAUCUGGAGGUCGAUUCUCCGGCUGGCGGAUCUGACACUGUCGAAACGAGAUGCGAGCGGUGUAGGGUAGGCUAGUUUCGUCGUCGCCAGGUUGCGAUUUGGACGAGAUAUGUAGUUUAGGGUAUGCUCUAGGGUAAGUAGAAUUCGAGUUUCGUCGCCGACAGUUUUCUGUGGGUGUAUGGUAGGUACAGGGUAGGCAAAUCUCUCUCCGGCCAGUACUUGUCUGGUGGUCGUGAGUCGAUUUUUUUGUUUUGCCAUACUAUUGAAUUUUGCGGAAAUUCAAAAGUGGCUCGGGAGUCCCGCCUGGCGUGCGUCCGACUCGAACAUCGUCGGUGCACAUAUGAGAGGGAGUAAUCCGGCCCGGCCGGGGCCCAUCGCGAGCUGCCGGGUAGGUAAAAGUAAAAAAGUUGUUAAGAGGCGCGGUGUCGGCGUGCUUGUAUUUGCGGGAGAGAAUUAUCUGGGGGUGCUGGGUAGCCGGGAAGACUUGGACGGAUCUGGCCCGGGAAUGGGUCUGGGCCUGGAUUCUGGUGUGGUGUAGGGUAGGCGUAGAUAGAUGAGUGGUCUAGGGUAGAUACAGGGUAGCCAGACGUCUGGUAUAUAGUAUGGGGGUGUAGGGUAGGUCUGGACACCGUUUUCCACUUCGCCCUUCCCUUUAGUCGAGGGAGGAUGAUCUUGACUGGGACGGAGGUGUAGGGUAGGCUUAAUUUACGAUUACAUGAUCUGUGUCACUCUAGGGUAGGUGAAAAUCUUAUAUAUAUCUGAUCACAUUUGGUGAAGAAGUGGUUUGGCUGGUGAGAUGGACAAAAGUGCAAUGUUGAAUUAUAUGUGAUUUUGCAAAAGUGGGUGUGAAAUUGGAAAGUCGGUUUUCCCGCACAGAUGAGAGCACGUUUGAGGUGCCAUGAGAUGCACCUCUCCGAGACGACCUCAACGGUACCACCCAUGUGUUGGUCGGGCUCCUGUGCGGCCGUCCAAUGCGGGAUAAGUAGAGAAUGUGGUGGUGUAGGGUAGGCGUAGAUAGAUGAGUGGUCUAGGGUAGAUACAGGGUAGCCAGACGUCUGGUAUAUAGUAUGGGGGUGUAGGGUAGGUCUGGACACCGUUUUCCACUUCGCCCUUCCCUUUAGUCGAGGGAGGAUGAUCUUGACUGGGACGGAGGUGUAGGGUAGGCUUAAUUUACGAUUACAUGAUCUGUGUCACUCUAGGGUAGGUGAAAAUCUUAUAUAUAUCUGAUCACAUUUGGUGAAGAAGUGGUUUGGCUGGUGAGAUGGACAAAAGUGCAAUGUUGAAUUAUAUGUGAUUUUGCAAAAGUGGGUGUGAAAUUGGAAAGUCGGUUUUCCCGCACAGAUGAGAGCACGUUUGAGGUGCCAUGAGAUGCACCUCUCCGAGACGACCUCAACGGUACCACCCAUGUGUUGGUCGGGCUCCUGUGCGGCCGUCCAAGGCGGGAUAAGUAGAGAAUGUGGUGGUGUAGGGUAGGUGACCAGGUCCAGGGUAGGUUCGCCAAAUCCGUCAAUCCGGCUUGAAUCGAAGGACAGGUCUAGGGUAGGCCAGAGUCGGGUCUAGGGUAGGCAACCUUCACCCUCGAAGUGGUCUACCCGGUAGCCAACUUCAAUCGCCUCUCACGGCCGCCACGGACCUCGCAUGACGACGGGACUACCACCAUCGGAUUCGCCUUGGUCGAAAUAGCUGGUAUAUGCACUUUUGAAAAAAUGCGUGCAAAAUGGUUUUGUGGUUUGGUGGCCGUGAGUCGAUUUUUUUGUUUUCCCAUACAAAUGAAUUUUGCGGAAAAUAAAAAGUGGCCCACGAGGCAGUCCUGGCGUGCGGCCCACUAAAACGGUCUCGGAGGGUAUAUGAGAAGGGAGCAAAUCCGGCCGAGCCUGAAAGGGUGAGGACAAACCGGGCGAGCAACCUCUCAGUAUCAGAUCUUGCAGACUUCCACUGCGUGUCCCUCUGUACAGCUUUGCAGGCUCCGGCCUCGGCAGCGGGGGGUUCAUAGUGGUCGUCGACCUCCACGAAACUGCACGCUCCGGCGUGACAGCGUACUGGGGAUGCCUGUGUAGAUGCAGUCCGGGCUUGCCUGGACCGCUAGCAGAUGGGCUCUGUGGAUGACUGGCCGCUGGCUAGACCUGAAACCUGAGCAACGGGAGGUAACCUCUCGCCGCGGACACCGGAAUGGUAGAAGCGGCGUGCUGCGUCCUCCUCUUGGGGCCCCUAAGCCACACCUCCCAUAGCGGGUUCGGUGCGGCGGACGGACGCCCUGGGGAAUUUAGAGGGGGAAAGCGGAUUGCCCUAGCGGUGUUGUUGGCCCUGCCGACCUCACUGCGAAAGGCGCGACUUCACCGUCGCCACCCAGUAACUUGUCUCUCCGGCGCUUCACGGCGCUGGUGGCCAACCCCGGCACACGA
rnacentral:misc_RNA from 1 species